GGCCAUGCGUUAAGCACAGAGCGAAUUACUCCUUCGCCUUUUACUAAUGAAUACUGUGUGCUCGUCGUUUUAAGUGGCAUACGCCUAUUUUUGAAGGGCUUGCACCUCUGUGGGU
rnacentral:snRNA from 1 species